rnacentral:rRNA from 1 species
GACGAACGCUGGCGGCGUGCUUAACACAUGCAAGUCGAACGGAAAGGCCCUGCUUUUGUGGGGUGCUCGAGUGGCGAACGGGUGAGUAACACGUGAGUAACCUGCCCUUGACUUUGGGAUAACUUCAGGAAACUGGGGCUAAUACCGGAUAGGAGCUCCUGCUGCAUGGUGGGGGGUGGAAAGUUUCGGCGGUUGGGGAUGGACUCGCGGCUUAUCAGCUUGUUGGUGGGGUAGUGGCUUACCAAGGCUUUGACGGGUAGCCGGCCUGAGAGGGUGACCGGCCACAUUGGGACUGAGAUACGGCCCAGACUCCUACGGGAGGCAGCAGUGGGGAAUAUUGCACAAUGGGCGGAAGCCUGAUGCAGCAACGCCGCGUGCGGGAUGACGGCCUUCGGGUUGUAAACCGCUUUCGCCUGUGACGAAGCGUGAGUGACGGUAAUGGGUAAAGAAGCACCGGCUCACUACGUG